rnacentral:rRNA from 1 species
GAUGAACGCUGGCGGCGUGCCUAAUACAUGCAAGUCGAGCGAACGGACGAGAAGCUUGCUUCUCUGAUGUUAGCGGCGGACGGGUGAGUAACACGUGGAUAACCUACCUAUAAGACUGGGAUAACUUCGGGAAACCGUAGCUAAUACCGGAUAAUAUUUUGAACCGCUUGGUUCAAAAGUGAAUGACGGUCUUGCUGUCACUUAUAGAUGGAUCCGCGCUGCAUUAGCUAGUUGGUAAGGUAACGGCUUACCAAGGCAACGAUGCAUAGCCGACCUGAGAGGGUGAUCGGCCACACUGGAACUGAGACACGGUCCAGACUCCUACGGGAGGCAGCAGUAGGGAAUCUUCCGCAAUGGGCGAAAGCCUGACGGAGCAACGCCGCGUGAGUGAUGAAGGUCUUCGGAUCGUAAAACUCUGUUAUUAGGGAAGAACAUAUGUGUAAGUAACUGUGCACAUCUUGACGGUACCUAAUCAGAAAGCCACGGCUAACUACGUG